rnacentral:rRNA from 1 species
UACAGAGGGUGCAAGCGUUGUUCGGAAUUAUUGGGCGUAAAGGGCGCGUAGGCGGUUCGGCAAGUCUCUAGUGAAAUCUCUGGGCUCAACUCAGAGUCUGCUGGGGAAACUGCCGGGCUUGAGUGUGGGAGAGGAGAGUGGAAUUCCCGGUGUAGCGGUGAAAUGCGCAGAUAUCAGGAGGAACACCGAUGGCGAAGGCAGGUCUCU